CUGGGAUGGUAGAGGCGAACCAC
rnacentral:piRNA from 1 species